UGUGUCUGUGUUCAUCAAGACAUGAAGACUCUGGAGUGGGACAAGAGAAGGAUGAUGGGGUGUAUAUUCCAAUAGACACAUUAAGUGAAAGCAGAUAAAUGCAGAGGGCUGGACAGUGGUUUCAUUCAUUAGGUAAAGAGGUGGGACAAGGAUGCUGACAGGACAGGAGGAGGUGACAUUCAGGUUAGUGACAGUACAUCAGGGCCACCAUUUAAUUUAAUGUUAAUUUAAUUGCUUCCAAAAUCAAUACUUGACAAAUCUUUAGAAUUAUAUCUGCAAAGCUGAAUUUCUCAUAGGUGGAUAAAGUAUGACAGCAAUUGUGAAGACCUUAGACGUGCAGUAUAUGGUUCUUCUCUCUUUCAUUUAUAUUGAUUUGACUAAAUUUUCUUGUUAACUAAUAAUGGGGAUAUUCCUAAUAUAAUAUAUUUUAAAUACAUGCUUAGAACAUAUCUCAUUUGCUUUGUAUCUAAAUGAAAAGUACCUCUUUAAGGUCUAAGCUAUGUUUCAUUUUAUUUAGACAUUCAACGCAGACAUUUUCAUCCAAAGCAACUUGAGGAAGAAAACAGAAGCAGUUCAUCCUAAAAGUGGGCUGCUGUAAUGUUUACAUCUAUGGAAAGAGGAGCUGGGAAAGAAAAGAAAGACUGGAAAGCAGUACUUCUUGUUGAGGACAAUCCUGAAUAGGAACACUUUCUCAUACACAUAGAUUAUUAUUAGUGUUUGAUUGUUUGUUUCAUUUUUAUGAAUUGUAUUGUUUUAAUUUUUCGUUUUAUUUGAAAUUACCUAAGUUAGAUUCAUGCUAAUACUUUAACUGGACCUUGUAUCUUUGCUGGCUGACUGGCUGUAGAGUUGGUUUCACAUACACAUGAAGUUUCUAAUUAACUAACUUUUAAGUUCAGUUUGGUUUAAACUUGUAUUUACCCAUGGUAAUUCAUUUAAAUUUCUAUUCAUGCUUAUAUAUUAAUUUCAAUGAACUUCUGUAUUUGUGUAUAGCUGGCAAUUUGGGCAAGCUACGUUUAACACACAAAUGUAACUGUCACAAAGGUUUUUUUUAUUAUCAGUUUGUUCUAAACUUUUGUUUGUUUACUAAGGAUGAAAUUGCUUUGUAAUUUAAGUUGUUGGUAGAUUCAUGCCAAUAAUGUAUUUGAACAAACUAGUAUUUUUGUUUAUUGCUGGCAGUUUAUACUAGAAGAGUUUUAACACAUACAAUGUUGUAGUGUUAUUGACUUGUGUGCUAUUGAUUAAUAAAAAGGCAAACAAUUUGAAAGUAAUUUUUCGUGUGAUUUAUUUAUUAAUAUAAUUUGGGCAAGAUUAGGCUGAGUUAUGGCUCAGUUUUGGAAGUUCUGGUUAA